rnacentral:rRNA from 1 species
AUUGAACGCUGGCGGCAGGCCUAACACAUGCAAGUCGAACGGUAACAGGGAUCAGCUUGCUGAUUCGCUGACGAGUGGCGGACGGGUGAGUAAUGUCUGGGAAACUGCCUGAUGGAGGGGGAUAACUACUGGAAACGGUAGCUAAUACCGCAUAACGUCGCAAGACCAAAGAGGGGGACCUUCGGGCCUCUUGCCAUCGGAUGUGCCCAGAUGGGAUUAGCUAGUAGGUGGGGUAACGGCUCACCUAGGCGACGAUCCCUAGCUGGUCUGAGAGGAUGACCAGCCACACUGGAGCUGAGACACGGUCCAGACUCCUACGGGAGGCAGCAGUGGGGAAUAUUGCACAAUGGGCGCAAGCCUGAUGCAGCCAUGCCGCGUGUAUGAAGAAGGCCUUCGGGUUGUAAAGUACUUUCAGCGGGGAGGAAGGGAGUAAAGUUAAUACCUUUGCUCAUUGACGUUACCCGCAGAAGAAGCACCGGCUAACUCCGU